GAUGAACGCUGGCGGCGUGCCUAAUACAUGCAAGUCGAGCGAACAGACGAGGAGCUUGCUCCUCUGACGUUAGCGGCGGACGGGUGAGUAACACGUGGAUAACCUACCUAUAAGACUGGGAUAACUUCGGGAAACCGGAGCUAAUACCGGAUAAUAUAUUGAACCGCAUGGUUCAAUAGUGAAAGACGGUUUUGCUGUCACUUAUAGAUGGAUCCGCGCCGCAUUAGCUAGUUGGUAAGGUAACGGCUUACCAAGGCAACGAUGCGUAGCCGACCUGAGAGGGUGAUCGGCCACACUGGAACUGAGACACGGUCCAGACUCCUACGGGAGGCAGCAGUAGGGAAUCUUCCGCAAUGGGCGACAGCUUGCCGCAGCUACGCCGCGUGAGUGAUGAAGGUCUUCCGAUCGUAAAACUCUGUUAUUAGGGAAGAACACAUGUGUAAGUAACUAUGCACGUCUUGACGGUACCUAAUCAGAAAGCCACGGCUAACUACGUG
rnacentral:rRNA from 1 species